AUUGAACGCUGGCGGCAGGCUUAACACAUGCAAGUCGAGCGGAGAGAGGUAGCUUGCUACUGAUCUUAGCGGCGGACGGGUGAGUAAUGCUUAGGAAUCUGCCUAUUAGUGGGGGACAACAUCUCGAAAGGGAUGCUAAUACCGCAUACGUCCUACGGGAGAAAGCAGGGGAUCUUCGGACCUUGCGCUAAUAGAUGAGCCUAAGUCGGAUUAGCUAGUUGGUGGGGUAAAGGCCUACCAAGGCGACGAUCUGUAGCGGGUCUGAGAGGAUGGUCCGCCACACUGGGACGGAGACACGGCCCAGACUCCUACGGGAGGCAGCAGUGGGGAAUAUUGGACAAUGGGGGGAACCCUGAUCUAGCCAUGCCGCGUGUGUGAAGAAGGCCUUAUGGUUGUAAAGCACUUUAAGCGAGGAGGAGGCUACUUUAGUUAAUACCUAGAGAUAGUGGACGUUACUCGCAGAAUAAGCACCGGCUAACUCUGUGCCAGCCGCCGCCGUAACAC
rnacentral:rRNA from 1 species